rfam:Drosophila virilis strain TSC#15010-1051.87 Ctg01_16767, whole genome shotgun sequence.
CCCCCUGAAUUUAAGCAUAUUAAUUAGGGGAGGAAAAGAAACUAACAAGGAUUUUCUUAGUAGCGGCGAGCGAAAAGAAAUCAGUUCAGCACUAAGUCACUUUGUCUAUAUGGCAAAUGUGAGAUGCAGUGUACGGAACAUCAACAUUCUAGUAUGAGAAGUUAACGAUUUAAGUCCUUCUUAAAUGAGGCCAUUUACCCAUAGAGGGUGCCAGGCCCGUAUAACGUUAAUGAUUACUAGAUGGUGUUUCCAAAGAGUCGUGUUGCUUGAUAGUGCAGCACUAAGUGGGUGGUAAACUCCAUCUAAAACUAAAUAUAACCAUGAGACCGAUAGUAAACAAGUACCGUGAGGGAAAGUUGAAAAGAACUCUGAAUAGAGAGUUAAAUAGUACGUGAAACUGCUUAGAGGUUAAGCCCGAUGAACCUGAAUAUCCGUUGUGGAAAAUUCAUCAUUAGAAUUGUAAUAUUAUAAACAAUAUUAUAAUAAUAGUGUGCAUUUUUCCCAUAAAAGGACAUCUAUUAGCAUAAAUAUUUCUCAUAAAAUUAUGUCUGAUUGCUUAUUUGAAUUAUAUGCUUGGCAUUUUAACGUAAAAUAAAAGAUAUAAAUUUGUUAAAGUGCUAAUAGAUUUAUAUGAUUACAGUGCGUUAAUUUUUCGGAAUUAUAUAAUGGCAUAAUUAUCAUUGAUAUUUGUGCUUAUUAUAUGCAUUUGUAUGAUAAACAAUGCGAAAGAUUCAGGAUACCUUCGGGACCCGUCUUGAAACACUGACCAAGGAGUCUAACAUAUGUGCAAGUUAUUGGGAUAUAAACCUAAUAGCGUAAUUAACUUGACUAUUGAUGAGAUUAGUUUUUAACUAUUUAUAGUUAAUCAAUGCAAUCCCGGGGCGCUCUAUAUAGUUAUGUAUAAUAAUAUAUAUAUUAUUUAUGCCUCUAACUGGAGCGUAUCUUGAGCAUAUAUGCUGUGACCCGAAAGAUGGUGAACUAUACUUGAUCACGUUGAAGUCAUGGGAAACCCUGAUGGAAGACCGAAACAGUUCUGACGUGCAAAUCGAUUGUCAAAAUUGAGUAUAGGGGCGAAAGACCAAUCGAACCAUCUAAUAGCUGGUUCCUUCCGAAGUUUCCUUCAGGAUAGCUGGCCAUUUAAUUGUGGUAUAAAUUAUUCUAAUCUGUUAAAGCGAUUGAUUAGAGCCCUAAGGGUCGAAACGAUCUUAACUUAUUCUCAAACUUUAAAUGGGUAGGACCAUAAACUUUCUUGAUAUGAAGUUUAAGGUUAUGAUAUAAUGUGCCCAGUGGGCCACUUUUGGUAAGCAGAACUGGCGCUGUGGGAUGAACCAAACGUAAUGUUACGGUGCCCAAAUUAACAACUCAUCCAGAAACAAUGAAAGGCGUUGGUUGCUUAAAACAGCAGGACGGUGAUCAUGGAAGUCGAAAUCCGUUAAGGAGUGUGUAACAACUCCCCUGCCGAAGCAACUAGCCCUUAAAAUGGAUGGCGCUUAAGUUGUAUACCUAUACAUUACCGCUAAAGUAGAUGGUUUAUAUUACUUGUAAUAUAAAUUUUGAAACUUUAGUGAGUAGGAAGGUACAAUGCGUGUGCAUAGAAGUGUUUGGCGUAAGCCUGCAUGGAUCCGCUAUUGGUACUUAUCUUGGUGGUAGUAGCAAACAAUCGAAUGAGACCUUGGAGGACUGAACUGGAGAACGGUUUCGUGUGAACCGUGGUUGAUCACGAGUUAGUCGGUCCUAAUUUCAAGGUCGAAAUCCGAAAAUUUUCAAGUUAAGAAAAAUCUAAAUAUAUUUGUCAUCUAACCAAUUUUUAUUCACUUGAAUAAUUUUGAACGAAAGGGCAUACGGUUCCAAUUCCGUAACCUGUUGAGUAUCCGUUUGUUAUUAAAUAUGGGCCUCGUGCUCAUCCUGGCAACAGGAACGACCAUAAAGAAGCCGUCGAGAGGUAUCGGAAGAGUUUUCUUUUCUGUUUUAUAGCCGUACUACCAUGGAAGUCUUUCGCAGAGAGAUAUGGUAGAUGGGCUAGAAGAGCAUGACAUAUACUGUUGUGUCGAUAUUUUCUCCUCGGACCUUGAAAAUUUAUGGUGGGGACACGCAAACUUCUCAACAGGCCGUACCAAUAUCCGCAGCUGGUCUCCAAGGUGAAGAGUCUCUAGUC